CAAUCAAUUCGAAUAUAGCAUCUGAUACAAUAGAAGCAGGAAAUAGUAGUAACAGUAAUUUAACUAAUGUCGAUGAUACAUUUAAUAAAACAAAUAAAAUUAAUAUUUUGUCUCAAGAUCUUAAUGAAAUGAGUGAAUCAAGUGUAGAAUCACAAUCUGAUAAAGAAAAUAACGAGGAACAUAACGUUGAAGCACAAGAUCAUAUUUCUCAUAUAAGUAGUAUUUCUGAUUGUAGCCAUAAGACGAGUUUACAAGAAGAUUUACAAAAAUUAAUUAUUGAACGAAAUAUUGCACAUAAUACUGUUAACGAGUUACUGACUAUUUUAAGGAAACAUGGCCAUGUAGAUUUGCCUAAAGACGUGAGAGCAUUACUUCAAACGCCACGAAAUGCAUCUGUAAAUAUUAAAUCUCUGGGUAAUGGUCGCUACUUACAUUUUGGUAUUUUUUCUCCUUUAAAGCGAUCCAUACAAAUAUAUUCUGAAUUUAUUACUGGGAACAAAAUAAAAUUAAAUAUUAAUAUUGAUGGCUUACCAAUUUCCAAAAGUUCAGGUAGCCAAUUUUGGCCCAUAAUGGCAUCUAUUGAAGAUGUAGAUACGUAUACAUCACCUUUUAUAAUUGGUAUUUAUCAUGGCAUGUGCAAACCUAAUAACGCUAACGAUUUUUUGUUUGACUUUGUUAAUGAUUUUAUUCUUCUUUUUCAAACAGGCAUCAUUGUUUCUAAUAAAAAAUAUACAGUAACUCUUAAUGCAAUAUUAUGUGAUGCCCCGGCGAAAUCAUUUAUUACCUACACAAAAGGUCAUACAGGAUAUUUCUCUUGCCCUAAAUGUAUUCAGGAAGGUGAUUUUGUACGUAAUAGAGUAGUUUUUCCAGAAAUUCACAACAUGUUACGUACAAAUGACACAUUUAAAAAUCGUACACAUAUUGAACAUCACACAGGUGAUUCUAUAUUAGAAAAACUCGCGAUUGGAAUGAUAUCCCAAAUCCCAUUAGAUUAUAUGCACCUUGUUUGCUUAGGUGUUGUCAAGCGAUUGCUGCAACUAUGGGUCAGAGGAAAUAGAAAUAUUAGAUUAUCUUCAGAGGCUGUAAAUUCAAUUUCGUGUUAUUUAAUUGCAUUGAAACCCUUUAUUCCAGCAGAAUUUGCAAGAAAACCUAGAGGUUUAAAUGAUAUUGAUAGAUGGAAAGCUACAGAAUUUCGCCAAUUUCUGCUUUAUACCGGAAUUGUUGUUAUGAAAUUAGUAUUGCCUACAAAUUGCUACAAUCAUUUUCUUUCUCUUAGUGUUGGGAUUAGAAUAUUAACUGAUGAAGAACUAUGUGUGCCAUUCAACGCUUAUGCGAAUUUGUUGUUAUUGUACUUUGUUUCGAAUUACGGAAAUAUUUAUGGCGACGAGUAUAUGUCGCAUAACGUUCACAAUCUUCUACAUCUUUCCAAUGAUGUACAAAAUUUUGGUUCUUUAGAUAACUUUAGUUGCUUUAAAUUUGAAAAUUAUAUGCAACAGAUUAAAAAAAAAUUACAUCAAUCGGGAGCACCUUUAGAAGAGUUUUGUAAUCGCACUUUUGAAGAAUUACAGCUUCCCAUUCAAUCAUGUAAAAUGCAACAAUAUCCGAUUGUUUUUUAUAAGAAAAAUAACGCCAUUUCUCAUGUCCAAUUCAAAAAUUUUAAAAUUGCAGCCAAUGAAGCUGAUAACUGUGCUAUACUUUGUGAUAAAUCUGUAAUAUUUAUCUUGGAUAUAUUUAAAGAAGACUGUGUUUGUUAUAUUCGUGCAAAACGUUUUUUAAAUCCAAAGGCUUUUUUUCAUAUACCCUGCUCGUCAGAAAGACUUGGAAUAUUUUUAAUAUCAAAUACUACUACUACAGACAUAAUUAAAAUUUCAAUAACGCAAGUAAAAAAGAAGUGUUUCAAAAUUAAAUGUGUUGAUGAAAUUGGUUCUUAUAUUACAAUACCAUUGCAAGCCACUAAUAAUUAGAUGUUAUAACUUUUUGGUUGAAUAUAUUUCAAUUUUUUUCAUUUUUGUAUGCGUACGCUUUAUAUGAUUAAAUUUAUAUGCAUUAUAUGCAAUAAACGUACGAUUCUUUUGUCUUUAUAUGAAAUAUUGCAAAUACAAAUUUUGAUGGAUUUUUAGUUCAUGACUAAAAAUAUUUCAAAGUUUUUGAAACGUUAUACAUUUCCCACAUUUUCCACAAGAUGAGUUGUGAAAAUAAGAAAUAUGCAGUAGUUAAAUUUUUAUCAGAUUCUACAUAUUCUGAAAUUCCAACAGCAUGGCUUUUUAAAGAUAAGGAGGAUAUUCAGCAAUGUUGGUGGCCACCUCGAACGGCAAACAGUGCAACAUUAAUAAUAAACUGUGAAAGUCCCGAUUCUACAUGGAAUAGUUAUGAAGUGGAUAUCGUAAAAUAUUGUACAUCUCUUGAAUCAGCUCGAAAGAAUGCAGCAGAUUCUAAUUAUAGCACAACCGACGAAGAACGACUGGGCCGAGGAAAGAGGCAACGUAUUUUGUAUAGUCGUUUCAGCGAUGAAGAAGAAUAUGAUCAUCAAUCUCAACCUCGAAAAUAUACGAAAA